rnacentral:lncRNA from 1 species
GUACACUCGGAUGUAAAACGUAAUUCAAGGGCUGAGGGUUUAGGGCCGAGGGCUGUUGAGUUUGAAACGCAGCUGGAAGACAAUCCGGAACAGGCAAGAUCAGGACAAAGCUAGCCCGUCCCCCUCCACCCUCCAGGAGUCACCAGGUCCACCGCCUCUCCAUACUUUACUGCUGGUUCUGGUCGACUGCAGGAAGGGGACAUCCCUAAUCAUUGCUCUCUUAGUGGGAGGGGCGUAUCAUCUGGGGAGCCUCCACAACAUCAUGAUUCUGAUAAGAAAGAGAAGAGUCUCUCCAGAUCAGAACACCUCAAGAAACACCAGCAUAGAGGUAUAGGGAAGAAACC